AUUGAACGCUGGCGGCAGGCUUAACACAUGCAAGUCGAGCGGAGAGAGGUAGCUUGCUACUGAUCUUAGCGGCGGACGGGUGAGUAAUGCUUAGGAAUCUGCCUAUUAGUGGGGGACAACAUUUCGAAAGGAAUGCUAAUACCGCAUACGUCCUACGGGAGAAAGCAGGGGAUCUUCGGACCUUGCGCUAAUAGAUGAGCCUAAGUCGGAUUAGCUAGUUGGUGGGGUAAAGGCCUACCAAGGCGACGAUCUGUAGCGGGUCUGAGAGGAUGAUCCGCCAAGCUGGGACUGAGACACGGCCCAGACUCCUACGGGGGGCAGCAGUGGGGAAUAUUGGACAAUGGGCGGAAGCCUGAUCCAGCCAUGCCGCGUGUGUGAAGAAGGCCUUAUGGUUGUAAAGCACUUUAAGCGAGGAGGAGGCUACUUUAGUUAAUACCUAGAGAUAGUGGACGUUACUCGCAGAAUAAGCACCGGCUAACUCUGUGCCAGCCGCCGCCGUAACAC
rnacentral:rRNA from 1 species